AGUGGGAUAGCUGGGUCAAAUGGUGGUUCCAUUCCAAGUGUUCUGAGGAAUCUCCAUAUUGCUUUCCAUAUUGGUUGCACCAAUUUGCAGACCUGCCAGCAAU
rnacentral:pre_miRNA from 1 species